rnacentral:sRNA from 2 species
UGCUGGGAUCGCCUCCAUUCAUAACAGACUUCAGAGGUGGCCUUUACUGUGUAGGGUUAGCUGCGAUGGGCCUUUCAAACAGCUAACUCAUCAAUCUGUUGAUACAAUGGGCAUGCUGCUUUCUCUUUUGCACAACUGUUAUUCUCUGUAGUAAGGGGACUCUGGUCCUUUUUCUCCCUCCAGACGAAUCUUGUGAGGUGAUAUGGAGGUGAAGUUAAGGAGUUGGGUGUUCUGAAAGUCGGCUUUGAAAAUGACUGUUUUAACUGGAGAGAGCAUCGAUGGGGGCGGGAAGACAGUUAGCAAGGUUGAUGUCUCCAUCUCUCUUGUGAGCAGUUUCUAGAAAGGAGAUGUUGUUUCCUUAUUCCAUGAUGUUGAGAAUUCCAUCUUUGUUCUGAGAACUUAUCUCAGAGGAAUGCAUGACUUCAUCGAAGUUUGUUCAAUCGAUUUCGUGUGAAUGUCCAUGAUGGACAGUAUCAUGAGGAUAACUUGCAUAACUUGAUGCUGACAACUUAAUGCGAAUGUAUGCACGCUUGCAUGGCUGGAUGGCAUCCAUCAACUAUUUUAGAACAAAA